CUUCACCGAGCCCAACCACAGGGGUUGUUCCGGAUCACGCUGGCCGUAGGUGGCCAACAGCGCCUGCGCCUC
rnacentral:antisense_RNA from 1 species